GAUGAACGCUGGCGGCGUGCUUAACACAUGCAAGUCGAACGAUGAAGCCCAGCUUGCUGGGUGGAUUAGUGGCGAACGGGUGAGUAACACGUGAGUAACCUGCCCUUGACUCUGGGAUAAGCCUGGGAAACUGGGUCUAAUACUGGAUAUGACUUCUCAUCGCAUGGUGGGGGGUGGAAAGAUUUAUUGGUCUUGGAUGGACUCGCGGCCUAUCAGCUUGUUUGUGAGGUAAUGGCUCACCAAGGCGACGACGGGUAGCCGGCCUGAGAGGGUGACCGGCGACACUGGGACUGAGAGACGGCCCAGACUCCUACGGGAGGCAGCAGUGGGGAAUAUUGCACAAUGGGCGCAAGCCUGAGGAAGAGACGCCGCGUGAGGGAUGACGGCCUUCGGGUUGUAAACCUCUUUCAGUAGGGAAGAAGCGAGAGUGACGGUACCUGCAGAAGAAGCGCCGGCUAACUACGUG
rnacentral:rRNA from 1 species